rnacentral:rRNA from 1 species
UACGUAGGGGGCAAGCGUUGUCCGGAAUCAUUGGGCGUAAAGAGCGUGUAGGCGGCCAGAUAGGUCCGUUGGUGAAAACUGGAGGCUUAACCUCCAGCGGUCGAUGGAAACCAUCUGGCUAGAGUCCGGAAGAGGAGAGUGGAAUUCCUGGUGUAGCGGUGAAAUGCGUAGAUAUCGUAAGGGAAGACCAGUGGCGAAGGCGGGUCUCUGGGCAGUUCCUGGACGCUGAGGCACGGAAGGCC